GGCUGGUCUGAGUGCAGUGGUGUUUACAACUAAGUGAUCACAACCAGUGACAGAUUCCUUUGUUCCCUCUCCAUUCCCACUGCUUUACUGAUUAGCCUUUA
ensembl:misc_RNA Y_RNA Y RNA